rnacentral:rRNA from 1 species
AACGAACGCUGGCGGCGUGCCUAACACAUGCAAGUCGAGGGAGAAAGGGGGCUUCGGUCUCCGAGUAAACCGGCGCACGGGUGAGUAACACGUAGGUAACGUACCCUUGAGUCUGGGAUAACCAGUCGAAAGACUGGCUAAUACCAGAUACGACCGCGGAAACCCCGGUUUCUGCAGUGAAAGAUGGCCUCUGCUUGCAAGCUAUCACUCGUGGAUCGGCCUGCGCACCAUUAGCUAGUUGGUGAGGUAACGGCUCACCAAGGCUGAGAUGGUUAGCUGGUCUGAGAGGAUGGCCAGCCACACUGGGACUGAGACACGGCCCAGACUCCUACGGGAGGCAGCAGUGGGAAUAUUGCGCAAUGGGCGAAAGCCUGACGCAGCGACGCCGCGUGGGUGAUGAAGGCC